AAAUAUAUAAAAAGUCUAAUUUUUUAUUAUAUGUUUGAUGUGAUUGUUUAAUUUUUAAUAAUAUAAAAUUAAACAAAAAGGAGAGAAAGUACAAAAAUUGUUAUCAAAAAUUUAUUAUUCAUAAUUAUUAAUUAUCAUAUAUAUAUACAUGUUAAUCAUAUUAGGUAGUUCUGUAACUUUUAUUUAAGGAAAGAAUUGAAAGUAUUUAUUAUUGUACACUAGUGAUCAAUUUAUUAGUUAGUUUCAUAAAAAUUAUAAUAUAUAUUUAUAUAUAUGGAUCAAUUUAUUUGUCUAAGAAUCAUUUUGGUGGUGACACGGGAGUACAAAAAUAUGUUGUAGUGUCCUAUGAUUAAUGUACAGGGGUUUACGUUUCAAAUGGAAAAGGGGAUAUCCUAAAGAAGCUGGCUGCGUUGCAGUAUACAUGGUAGAAUGGAAGUAAGGUGAAAUUUCAAAUAUAGAUAACAACCCUUUCUUAUAGUGUUCUUGUACAAUAUAUAUACCAUAUCGAUGUUUCAAUCAACUGAUAACGGUUUUGAAAAAGAAUACAAAUACAUGGACGUAACGCCGGUAAGGGUUAUAGAGAUGUGAGAUAAGAAUCACAUGCAAAAGUGGCCCGCCAUUUCAUUAUAUUUUGCUUCUUUUGGACACUGCCAUAUGAAUGCUGUCAACGCAACUUCUGUCUUUACGAUUACAAAUAAUCAUACUCUACCGCAUAACUUUUUUUUUUGAAAAAAAAACUAUUAUUUAUAUGCGUGAAAUGGCUAGGAAAUUUAGAAUAAUGAUAUUAGUUUUCAUGAACUUAUUCCAUUGUCAUAAUUUUUCAAUAACACGACUUUUCUCCCCAAACCUCUCUGCUAUAUUAAAACUGUAAUAACAUAACAAGAUUUGAUAAAAGCAGACUUUUUACAAAGAUUUUUUUUUUACAACAAUGAACUGAAUGUUCAAGGUAUGAUCCGCUCAAAUAAGAUUUGCGUCUUUGAUUUUGGAAUAACUGUAUAAUAGUAAUGUAUUAUCAUCAAAUAUUGAUUGCAUAGAAGUGAUGUAUUACCAAAUCUAAGCGUCGUGAUUAGCCAAAAGGGACAGGGAAGUAAAGAAGCACCGUACACUCGUGGACCCACUAGAAUCUGUUUGUCGGUAAAGAUUAAAACCCCAUCAAUGACACGACACGUGGAUCUGCAGCCCUGCAGAUGAUGAGCACUUACUAGUUUCACAUUAGAUCGCGUUCACGUGGAUUGAAUACAUGACAAAUAUUUCAAUAGUAUUGAACCCGCGUCGCGCGAGGUCGCUGGGAAGACCCGGUAUCGUAACUGUUCUGCGGACCCCACACCACGCGGCGGCCCGCAAUUGGAUGAAUAUUAAUUUUUUUUUUUUUUUAAAAAAAAAGGAAAACGAAAUUAAAAUAAUAAUAAUAGGAAUAUUGGGAAUCGAGAAGAGAGGUUUACCAAUGCUGAUGGUCUAAAUAUCCGACAGAUAAUAGUACUACUUUUUCGGGUACACUACAAUUUACAAAUAACAAUACCUAACAUGCAAAUUGCAUUAAUCGUUAUGAAAAGUGUACAUAUAGUUUUGUAAUAACAAAGCAAACUGAUUCGUUUUGAUAUAUACAUAUUCCUUUUGAACGUUUUCCCUUAAUUAAUUGUUGAUUUAAUGAUAUUACACAUAAGUAUAUUAAAGGCUUUCUUAUUAAUUUUUUGGGAAAAUCCCACUAAAAACCUUCAAAGUGUCAAGUACUUCCACUUUAAACCUUUAAAUACUAUGUUUCCAUAAUAAACCCUAAAACUGACAUCAUUCUUAACAAAAACUUUAAAAGUGGCUUACGUAUUUUGUCUUAUAUUUGGAUAGAUAGAAUUAUAAACUCUGUUAACGUCGUAACUAACUCUGUUUCCUUUUGAUAAAACAUGUGCUUUAUUGUAAUUACUUAUAUUUUUAACAAAUUAUAUAUCUAUUUUAUUCACGAGAGUAAUUAAAGAUCCUAACGAUUUGUAGGGUUGAGCCGUCGUAAGUGUUUGUGAAAGAAAAUAAUAGAAAACCUAAAGAGAAAACCUAAAGAGAAAACUAAAAAGUGAGGAAGAGAUAGUCGUAUGUUAUAGACGACAUGGAUGACGAAGAGAUGUUGAAACUAAAUAUCCACUUUGGUGGAACAAUGAAGAAAGAAGCUGAUGAUUAUAUUUAUCUUAAUGAGUCAGGCUUUAAAAAUGUUUUAUGGAAAAUGUCUGAGAUCAGCUGGAAGAAGUUUCAAGAUUUCAAUAAAGCUGAAGGCAUUGCAACAGAUUUAAGAUUGAUUUGGUACAAAGAAACAAGUGAGGAGAUGAAGAAUAUCAAUUAUGUGUUUGAGGAUCUUAAUGGUGAUAUCUCAGACAAGAAACAAUGAUGAAAUUGCAACACCGUAGGCGAAGAGGAUGAUCAUAUAAAAUGGAAAUUUCAGAGAAGCCAUCUCCUUCGUCGUCGUCGUCCUAUUGUUUUCUCUUUAAAAUAUUUUAUUAUUUUCAAAACAUAUCCGACGGUUCUAUUAAAAUAUAAGUAAUUAAAAUAAGAAGGGAGACGGAGUCAGUUACGACUUACGACGUUAACAGAGUUUAUAAUUCCGUCCAUCCUAAUAUAAGACAAAACACGUAAACCACUUUUACAGUUUUUGUUAAGAAUGUUGUCAAUUUUAUGGUUUAUUAUGGAAACAUAGUAUUUGAAGGUUUAAAGUGGAAGUACUUGACACUUUGAAUGUUUUUCGUGGGAUUUUCCCUUAAUUUUUUUGGUUUUCUUUGUUACAUUAAAAAGCAUGAAGGAAAAAAAAAACUGAAAAAUUACAAAGGCCCAUUUAACCCCUAUUACACAUAAUUUUCAAAAUGAUAUUAUUAAUAAACAAAAGGCCAUUCCCUAUUUUCGCCAUGACUACUAAUUAGGCCACUUCCUAAUUUUCACCAAAAUUUUUUCGAUUUUGUAGUGAUAAUUGAGUUGUGACAUAUAUAUCUCUACCUCACAGCAUAAAGACGCAAACUGUUUUUUUAGAGCAUCUCCAAAAAAUAUUCUAUAAUUUUAAAUAUAAAGACUUUUAUUCUUUACUCUGCCAAAAAAAAAUUCAGAACUUCAGAUUGAAGUUUUGAGAUGUAAAACUAUAUAUUUAAAUUUUCUUGAAAACUUCAAAUUUGAAUAUUUUUGUUUGCAUUUUGGCUCCUGCAAUACAUAUCACAUUUAUGAUUUUUAAAUAUAUAGUUUAUCGUUUUGAUCGUUCAAUUUUUUAUAUCUCAUAAAUAUUUCAAAUUUUGUUUAUAAACUUAAGUCUUACACAUAAAAUUAAAUAAAACUUUAAAAUAAGAUUUAAUAUAUUUUAAAACUAGAUUUAGACAACAACAAUAUACAAAAAAAAACUUAACAAUUUUUUU